rnacentral:rRNA from 1 species
GUGGCUGGUUACGCUAAGGCUUGAGAGGAUAGAGAGAAUGGAAACAUGGUAUCCAUUCAUUCCUGGGCCCACUUUUGGACUAGAUUCUGAAGGAAGAACUCUAUUCUCAUCUCACUUGUUCUUCCUGCUCACCCCAGCUCUCCUUGUAUCAAGAUUUGUGUCUCCAAUUUCACUCUGAAGUUGAGAGAAAUCCUGUGAUAUGUCGGAAAUUAAGUGGAGCGAUUAGCGUGCGUCUUCAUCAACCGACCUUGCAUCUCAGAGUUUACUAGUAGUUCAUCGAGCAGCCUUCACGGCGGAGGAUUAUCGGGUAUGGCUGGAUUUUUCAUGGGCGAGGAGAGCCAGGAGCGGAUGAAUCUACGGGUGACACGGGUCUUGGUGACUGUGAGCCACCUCGCGCAUCUUACCCUGGCCCAAUUAUCUGGGAUCCGUCGGCGUAGAGACUCCGGUGUGCGGAUGUCUCUGGUGUGGGUGGCGUACCACGUGACCGAGAUAAUCACGCCAAUCGCCCUCGGCAAGGUGUUUCUCGACACCGCGACCGCGGUUAGCGAGGAGCUGAUGUUUGCGUUCUGGGCGCCGUUUCUCCUGCUGCACCUUGGUCGCCCGGACAACAUCACCAGCUACGCCUUGGAGCACAAUGAGCUGUCGCCGACCCAAAAGGCUGCUCUCGUCCUUGAAAUCGGAGGAGCUAUCUAUGGCUCAUACAAGCAAAGAUUUAUGCGCGGCGACGGGGCUCUGCGCGCCGCCUUCUUCAUCAUGCUCUUCCUGGGCUCCUAUAAGUACGUGGAGAGGGCAGUUGCGCUACGGCGAGCUUGCUUUGACAACAUUCGUCGCUCAGCCGGGAGAAAGAAGUUACGGCGCUUCACAUUUGAGGACGAAGGCCGUAAGUGGGAUAAUGAUGAUGCCCUGCUUGAUGCUCACGGCCUUCUCGGUGUCACCAUGGGUGCCUUCGCUGACUAUCAAGUCCACCGCCGGAGGUAUGUCCCAUCUUAUUCUGGCUGGAAGGAUGUUAGCGAGGUGGUUGAGAUGGAGGCGUCGCUCAUGUACGACAUGUUGUACACAAAGGCAAGUGUGGUCCGCACUUGGGCUGGCUACAUCAUCCGUGUCCUCUCGCCGCCGGCAACUGCCACGGCGCUCUAUCUCUUCCACAGUAAGGAGGGCAAUGCCAUGGAGAGUGCAGAUCGGACGGUCACAUACACCUUGCUUGUUGGUACCCUGGUGUUGGAUGUGAGAUGGCUGCUGAGAGCCCUAGGGUCCACCUGGACAUAUGCGUUCUUGGUAGAGCAAGGGGAAGGAAAAGAAUGGCUGCUUCCGGUUCGACGGACCUUCCCGGACAAUUUGCCUCGUCAAGCUGCAAUGCAAUCAUGGUAUUGCGUCCGUCGCCUCCUCGUCUCUCUGGAUACGUCCCGUCUCUCACUGAGAAGCGGCCCAAGUGGCCAUAGGUUGUUGUCCGGCGUGGGGCAACACAACUUGUUGCAAGAGUGCUGUACCUGUACUACUCCUCGCCCUCCGGGCCAACUGGAGAAGCUGGUCUCUUCUUUCUUCACUGGACUUGGGAAGAAGAAGACUGAUGUCAAGGAUGAUUUGUUGGAAGCUGUGUGCACACAGGUACUGCUGGAAUCUCGCACACUCGUCGGGAUGCGUCCCAUAAGGGAACUCGAUGAUUAUAUGAGGUCUAAUGCCAGUAACUAUAGUUUUGAAAACAACCUCAUCGCACUGCACGUCGCCACGGAUAUUUUCCUCUUGUGCAAGCCGACUUCGAUAAAAAGUGAAGCAUCAGCCAAAUACGAGAAGCAGAUACGAGCAAUAUCAGAUUACAUGAUGUUCCUCCUCGCUGAACGCCGGCACAUGGUAUUGAACCCGUGUGACGAGGGUAUCCACUACAAAAAGGCCCGCCUCGAUUUGGAGAAAAUAUGGCGUGAAAGAGGAACCAACAGUUCUCCAACAACAAGAGAGACAAAGCAGCUUGCCAACAUCCUUCUAGACAUGGAUGCCACUGAGGGCAGCUACAUGCUUGGAAGACCAAGUCAUCUUUAUAACAGAAAUGAUACUCUCGGGAUUGGUGCUUACUGGGCCUUCAACCUGUUAGAUGAGCUAGAACCGGGAAAUUAUGGACGACAUCCGAUGCAGGGCCAAUACAUUCACAAACUUGAAGCUUUCAUCCCGGCAUUCACCGAUGAGGUACAAACAAAAAUUAGAGAGCAUAGGGACCGCGGGGAACAACCAGAACUCCUCGAUUGUAUGUUGCAGAUCAUUCUUGUUUCAUGGAUAAGUCUUCUCACCUUCACGUCCGACCAAUGCAGCAGGGACUCCCAUGCCAAGCAGCUCAGCUGCGGCGGUGAGCUCUUAACCAUCGUCUGGCUGAUGAACCGACACAAGUACUUCUUUUACAAGCGAAUAAACUGACGAGCAUCGCAUCUUCUCUGCUUUGCUCUGGCUUUUAUGAAAUUUUUCAGUAGUAACUGCGGCUACUAGAUGACCCAUUGCCCACUGGCGCAAGUACCUGAAUCAACCCUGAACUUGGUGGCUUAGUAAUAUCGUUUUCAUUCAUUAUUGGUUCUAUCUCUCUUAUAUGCCCAGGUGCGGAAAAGUUUAUUUUGAAGGGCCGCAGGCGAGUGAUCGCAGUGGCUUGGUUGCUUUUUUCCUAUGAAACGCGCACAAUCUGACAUGCUCACAAUGUUCUUUUGCCCUAUCAUAUGCACAAAACCUGACAUGCUCGCACUGUUCUGGGUGAUGGUAUAAUGAUAUGAUCAAGAUAUAUUAGCACUUCCUUCCAAGAUUGUAUAUGUUCUACAGUUCUAGAUCACCUUGCACCAUGGUACGAUGAAUUGUCAUUUAAAUUCUGAGCCAUGGGCAACUCUUGC